GGAGAGGUGGCUGAGCGGUUGAAAGCGGCAGUCUUGAAAACUGUUAUCUCGAUUUUCGGGAUCGCGAGUUCGAAUCUCGCCCUCUCCGCCA
rnacentral:tRNA from 1 species